AGAGUUUGAUCAUGGCUCAGAUUGAACGCUGGCGGCAGGCCUAACACAUGCAAGUCGAACGGUAACAGGAAACAGCUUGCUGUUUCGCUGACGAGUGGCGGACGGGUGAGUAAUGUCUGGGAAACUGCCUGAUGGAGGGGGAUAACUACUGGAAACGGUAGCUAAUACCGCAUAACGUCGCAAGACCAAAGAGGGGGACCUUCGGGCCUCUUGCCAUCAGAUGUGCCCAGAUGGGAUUAGCUAGUAGGUGGGGUAACGGCUCACCUAGGCGACGAUCCCUAGCUGGUCUGAGAGGAUGACCAGCCACACUGGAACUGAGACACGGUCCAGACUCCUACGGGAGGCAGCAGUGGGGAAUAUUGCACAAUGGGCGCAAGCCUGAUGCAGCCAUGCCGCGUGUAUGAAGAAGGCCUUCGGGUUGUAAAGUACUUUCAGCGGGGAGGAAGGGAGUAAAGUUAAUACCUUUGCUCAUUGACGUUACCCGCAGAAGAAGCACCGGCUAACUCCGUGCCAGCAGCCGCGGUAAUACGGAGGGUGCGAGCGUUAAUCGGAAUUACUGGGCGUAAAGCGCACGCAGGCGGUUUGUUAAGUCAGAUGUGAAAUCCCCGGGCUCAACCUGGGAACUGCAUCUGAUACUGGCAAGCUUGAGUCUCGUAGAGGGGGGUAGAAUUCCAGGUGUAGCGGUGAAAUGCGUAGAGAUCUGGAGGAAUACCGGUGGCGAAGGCGGCCCCCUGGACGAAGACUGACGCUCAGGUGCGAAAGCGUGGGGAGCAAACAGGAUUAGAUACCCUGGUAGUCCACGCCGUAAACGAUGUCGACUUGGAGGUUGUGCCCUUGAGGCGUGGCUCCCGGAGCUAACGCGUUGAGUCGACCGCCUGGGGAGUACGGCCGCAAGGUUAAAACUCAAAUGAAUUGACGGGGGCCCGCACAAGCGAUGGAGCAUGUGGUUUAAUUCGAUGCAACGCGAAGAACCUUACCUGGUCUUGACAUCCACGGAAGUUUUCAGAGAUGAGAAUGUGCCUUCGGGAACCGUGAGACAGGUGCUGCAUGGCUGUCGUCAGCUCGUGUUGUGAAAUGUUGGGUUAAGUCCCGCAACGAGCGCAACCCUUAUCCUUUGUUGCCAGCGGUCCGGCCGGGAACUCAAAGGAGACUGCCAGUGAUAAACUGGAGGAAGGUGGGGAUGACGUCAAGUCAUCAUGGCCCUUACGACCAGGGCUACACACGUGCUACAAUGGCGCAUACAAAGAGAAGCGACCUCGCGAGAGCAAGCGGACCUCAUAAAGUGCGUCGUAGUCCGGAUUGGAGUCUGCAACUCGACUCCAUGAAGUCGGAAUCGCUAGUAAUCGUGGAUCAGAAUGCCACGGUGAAUACGUUCCCGGGCCUUGUACACACCGCCCGUCACACCAUGGGAGUGGGUUGCAAAAGAAGUAGGUAGCUUAACCUUCGGGAGGGCGCUUACCACUUUGUGAUUCAUGACUGGGGUGAAGUCGAAACAAGGUAACCGUAGGGGAACCUGCGGUUG
rnacentral:rRNA from 1 species